rnacentral:rRNA from 2 species
UCGCAUCGAUGAAGAACGCAGCGAAAUGCGAUAAGUAAUGUGAAUUGCAGAAUUCAGUGAAUCAUCGAAUCUUUGAACGCACCUUGCGCUCCUUGGUAUUCCGAGGAGCAUGCCUGUUUGAGUGUCAUUAAUUUCUCAACUCCUCCAACUUUUACAGCUGGCUUUGGAGCUUGGAUGUGGAGGUUUUGCUGGCUCUACUCUUUUGUGAGUCGUCAGCUCCUCUCAAAUGCAUUAGCG